CCACUAAUGUUCCUACCGUCAUUUAUCUUUAAAUCCUCCUCAUUAAUCGGAGGGAGUGUCAUUGGUCAAAGCGCGCUUUAGCUGGGAAGAGGCAGGUGAAAACUCACUGCAAACGGCGAUUAAAACACCGUAUCAGAACCAGAGACAACAUCUCUACUACAAGAAGGACUAAAGGUCUGACUGCAAGAUGAAUGGAAGAAUCCUCUUAUUUUUCCUUUGGAUGAUGCUUCUAGGAGUUGUCUAUGGACACCGUCGCCAACAGAGUCAUUCUCACAGUAACGAGAUACCCCACUUCUUCCAGCGCCCACCAUCUCCCCCUCACCCUUCAAAGCCUUUAUGGCCUCUCAUCCCAGGACUGUUCCCGUUUCCUUGGCCAACACCUUUCCCAAAGUGGGUUCCAACAUCUCCAACACAAGCUCCACCUCCUGCCUCAAUAUCCACCACUGUGCCUGUAACCCCUGACAGGGGUGACAACUAACAGACCAUGGACCGCAUUUCACUCGCUCAGCCCUGAACAAUCUCAACGUCUUUCUGUAGUUGUCAUGUCUGUUGAUUACAUUUGACCACCCAUUAAAAUCCAGAAGCAAGUUAAA